UUUAGAUGUUGAAACACAAAUAACGCAACUUAUCCAGUAGAGGCCUGUCAACCCAAGACAAAGCCAAGAGGGAGUUAGGUUCAACAGCCCAGAGGGAGUUAGGUUCAACAGCCCAGAGAGAGUUAGGUUCAACAGCCCAGAGGGAGUUAGGUUCAACAGCCCAGAGGGAGUUAGGUUCAACAGCAUGUCAACCCAAGACAAAGCCAAGAGGGAGUUAGGUUCAACAGCCCAGAGAGAGUUAGUUUCAACAGCCCAGAGGGAGUUAGGUUCAACAGCCCAGAGGGAGUUAGGUUCAACAGCCCAGAGGGAGUUAGGUUCAACAGCCCAGAGAGAGUUAGGUUCAACAGCCCAGAGGGAGUUAGGUUCAACAGCCCAGAGGGAGUUAGGUUCAACAGCCCAGAGGGAGUUAGGUUCAA